rnacentral:rRNA from 1 species
CCCGGGUCUUGUACACACCGCCCGUCACACCAUGGGAACGGGUUCUGCCAGAAGUAGUUAGCCUAACCGCAAGGAGGGCGAUUACCACGGCAGGGUUCGUGACUGGGGUG